ensembl:lncRNA
GGGCGAUGAGGACAAAGGGGAGGGAUGGAUAUGGGUCAGGAUGAUGAGACACGCAGAGCCAGACGUGGUUUUUCAGAACGACUCAAAAAAAAACAGCAGCGGCAAUGGAAACGAUGUUUUGCUACUUGGCUUUGAAACCACAAAAAUUCUGUCUACAAAGUCUUGGCACCAACAGGCGGUCGGUUACUCUGCUUGAGAGCUUCAGUGGGGAAGAGCAUGAGUUCUGCACUUCUCUUGGUGCCGUCUGCAUUAGAGGGAACUCUUACACGGCGCUAUGAAGGUGUCAAUUCAGAGCGAAACCGGAUGCGACCCGCCUUCACCCCAGGCACCUCCAGCCAGCUGUAAUUCUUCAGGCAUCCUCAGAUUUCAUCAACUCCCUUCUUCACCACCACCACCAGUGUCUGGACUCCACAGGGGAUUCUGCCGAGCAGAACUCGCGAUCACAGCCCCUUGAUUAUUCUGGUUUAAGAUGGAGUCCAAUCGCCAAGAUUGUGCACUAUUUAAAUGUUAUACAGGUGUAAUGAAUGUUUGUGUGCCGGGGAAUCUCCGAUGGUCAGCCCAGAGGGCAUGCAGAGGGCCGUGAGUUUUCUGGGGGGUAGCCUGGACGGCAGUUGGGGCGGCCGGGGGAUCUCCGGUGGUUGGCCGGGACGGCAGUCGAGACCUUUAUAUGUUACUGAUACUUGGUCAUGUUACAUCAGGACAGAUUUAAUUGAAAUUCUGACAAUUGAUUGUGGAGUCUGUUUAAAAAAAUAUAUUCUAGACCUUGAGGGGGGGGGGUGGAGCUGAAUAGCUGAACCUCAAGACCUCAACUGGUUCACCUGACUGUCAUCUCUCUCCCUCUGCCCCAUGAUUUCUAAAGCAGUGGGAUUCUUUACCCUGAAGAUCGGGUCACCUGGUACAAAUGUUUCUUUGUGGGCGCUGCUUGUAUUGGGUUUAUUUGUCCUGACAACCUUCACCUCUACAACUGAAUAGAAUGUUGUUUAAGGGCCAAUAUGUCUUUCCUGAGAUAGAGACCCAGCUUGUCUAUGUUAUUGAUUCUUUUAAAUGAAAAAUAUACAACAGAGUUGGAAUGUGUUGCACAAAACAAAAUUUGUAUAUUUUAAAAAAGGAACAAAAUGAUUCUUGCCAAAGCAGAAAUAACAAAGUAAAAUAUCUGGUCAAUCGCCAUGAAAGAAAACAUAACUUUCUUUGCAUGAAUGUCCC